CCCACGGGGUGGCAGCAGUGGGGAAUAUUGGACAAUGGGCGAAAGCCUGAUCCAGCCAUGCCGCGUGUGUGAAGAAGGCCUUCGGGUUGUAAAGCACUUUCAGUGGGGAAGAAAGCCUUGGGGCUAAUACCCUCGAGGAAGGACAUCACCCACAGAAGAAGCACCGGCUAACUCCGUGCCAGCAGCCGCGGUAAUACGGAGGGUGCGAGCGUUAAUCGGAAUUACUGGGCGUAAAGCGCGCGUAGGCGGUCUGAUAAGCCGGUUGUGAAAGCCCCGGGCUCAACCUGGGAACGGCAUCCGGAACUGUCAGGCUAGAGUGCAGGAGAGGAAGGUAGAAUUCCCGGUGUAGCGGUGAAAUGCGUAGAGAUCGGGAGGAAUACCAGUGGCGAAGGCGGCCUUCUGGACUGACACUGACGCUGAGGUGCGAAAGCGUGGGUAGCAAACAGGAUUAGAUACCCUUGUAGUC
rnacentral:rRNA from 1 species